UACAGAGGGUGCAAGCGUUAAUCGGAAUUACUGGGCGUAAAGGGCGCGUAGGCGGUAAUGUGAGUGUGAUGUGAAAGCCCCGGGCUUAACCUGGGAAGUGCAUCGCAAACGACAAUACUAGAGUAUAUGAGAGGGUGGCGGAAUUUCCGGUGUAGCGGUGAAAUGCGUAGAUAUCGCUUGGAACGCCAAUGGUGAAAACAGGUUGCUGGAAGUGUGCUGACGCUGAGACACGAAAGCCAGGGGAGCAAACGGG
rnacentral:rRNA from 1 species